rnacentral:rRNA from 1 species
UACGAAGGGGGCUAGCGUUGCUCGGAAUCACUGGGCGUAAAGGGUGCGUAGGCGGGUCUUUAAGUCAGGGGUGAAAUCCUGGAGCUCAACUCCAGAACCGCCUUUGAUACUGAGGAUCUUGAGUUCGGGAGAGGUGAGUGGAACUGCGAGUGUAGAGGUGAAAUUCGUAGAUAUUCGCAAGAACACCAGUGGCGAAGGCGGCUCACUGGCCCGAUACUGGCGCUGAGGCACGAAAGCGUGGGGAGCAAACAGG